UACGGGGGGGGCAAGCGUUGUUCGGAAUUACUGGGCGUAAAGGGCUCGUAGGCGGCCAACUAAGUCGGACGUGAAAUCCCUCGGCUUAAACUGGGGAACUGCGUCCGAUACUGGAUGGCUUGAGUUCGGGAGAGGGAUGCGGAAUUCCAGGUGUAGCGGUGGAAAUGCGUAGAUAUCUGGAGGAACACCGGUGGCGAAGGCGGCAUCCUGGACCGGCAUUGACGCUGA
rnacentral:rRNA from 1 species